UUAUAAGUAUCUUGAUGCGGAGUCGACGCCACUGCUGCAUCGAAUACUUUACCUUCCGUUUGGAAGGGAUGGGAAAGUUGUGCACAAAGGGUACAAUUUGUAUGGGAGGGAGCAACCUAUCUGAGAAUAGUAUACU
rnacentral:ribozyme from 1 species